rnacentral:rRNA from 1 species
UACGUAGGCAGCAAGCGUUGUUCGGAGUUACUGGGCGUAAAGGGUGCGUAGGCGGUUCUAUAAGUAUGGUGUGAAAAUCUCCCGGCUUAACUGGGAGGGUGCGCCGUAGACUGUGGGACUAGAGUGUGGGAGAGGAAAGUGGAAUUCCUGGUGUAGCGGUGAAAUGCGUAGAUAUCAGGAGGAACACCGGUGGUGUAAACGGCUUUCUGGACCAUAACUGACGCUGAGGCACGAAAGCGUGGGUAGCAAACAGG